rnacentral:lncRNA from 1 species
UGGAUUCCAAUAACCCUUGCAAAGAUCUACUUUUUCCACAUGGUCCUAAUCUGGUGCAAAAAUCUUUGUAUAUAGUAGGGACCGUCCUUAUUAGAAACACGAUUGUUAACCAGUGAGUGUGCGUAGUGUUUGUGGGCUAUUUUUUAACAUGCUUUAUAAAAGGGGUCUUUAGAGUGCUGGCCACUGAGAAGAAAUUUUCGAAUCUGAGAUUUUUGCUCAAUAAUAAAGUUUGAACCUCACCUAAAAACUCUGUCGACUAAAAACUCUGUCAAGACUAAGGGUAAAAUGCAGACUGCAGAAUGCAGAGCGAACCGCAAAAAGGCUAACCGGAACGGUUAUUAAGGCUAACAUGAGUGAUAUUUAAGCUAACCAGAGUGCAGACUUUCACUCCGAUUGCUAAAAUGUGGCAUUAAUAACCCUGUUUUACGAUUAGAACUCAAUAAUGGAAAUAACACGAUAUAUAUUUAAAAAGUAUGCAGUAUGCAGUCUUCAUUUUACCCCCAGUCUGCAUUUUACUCGUGGUCUGCAGUCCACAACUCUUUGGCUACCUCCAACGUCUGUAAUGUGUAUUUUCUGUCAAGGAUGGACAAAACAUUAUCAGGGUGAAAACUAGUAGGUCACGACAAUAUGAAGAACAUACUUGAACAAAUCAGCUGAAAACAAGAAAAAACUACUGCGUUUCCUGCGUGUAUGCGACCAGCCUAGUCAGUAAGGUCCUUUCUAGAGCUCACGUACCGCGAAAAGUCGAUUUCGGCAGCUCAGAACAGCACUCUCCGUUACAUGUAAGUUUUUUUUUUCUUAGAUGUUUUGAAAAUUCACAUCGUUUAGUUUUCGGCUACCGUUAUAAUUUAGCUUUUAACAUUCAAGUUGCGUGUACAGCUUGCGUUGAAUGAAAAAGAAAAUUCUGGCCAGUAAGUUAAAGGAUUCUAACCAAAGCGCUUUUGCUGGUUGGGUACUUGCUCUUAGUAAUUUUUCAGUUGCGAUAUUAUAAUACGCGUUCAAUUAAAGAAAGAUUUUGAUUCGAUAUUCACAAGAAGGGCGCGAAAUAUUAAAAAGUCAGUGCAACAGAAAGUGAAAAGCAGUCCACGACAAGCCAAAUUUUAAUUCGGAAAGUGUUCGUUUUAUUUCCGCUUCCGAACAUAACUCGAAGAGACGAUUUGACGCAGUACGUGUCCACGGCAAAUGAAAUCAAACAUGGCGGCCUGACAGCGGAAACGAGCGGUGGGUCUACGGUGGCCGUUUAUUGUUGGCUCGAGGAAAUUCUGCACAGAGAGGGCCAAUUAGCAAAGCAGAAUCGAUGAAGAUAAAGGGAACAAGAGAUGACUAGAGCUUAUAGCUCGUCGGAGGCAACGCUCCACGGAUGACUUGUUCACAAUGUAUUCAGUUCAAGCCAUUUUUGGUUGAUUAAUGGAUAUGCUGUCAUGGGACGUGACCAAGGUGCAUGGGACCUUUUUUGUCUUACGGUGAAGUUUACAUAACACGUAGUCGAAGAUGGUUGAAACAGAUGUAGUCUGAAAUUGAAAAGAGCACUAGAAUUGACUGAACUAACAUCACAAGCUAAAACAACAUUAAGUAAAACCAUCAACGGGAGCGCGAUGGAAAUCCAUCUGGCAUAGCGUAAUGGAUCAGUCAUCAGUCGCAAAGUUGUCAGAGUGGGGACUGAGGCUGGGGGGUGGAGAUGGAGGAGUGGCGAGGGAGGGACUCGAAACUUUUGUUUAUCUUGUGUGUUGUUUCAGAAAACAGUAGUCAUUGAACAAUAAACAGAGUCCAAGAGGCGUGAAAGAGAACGUGACCGUGUUCAAUUAUAUAACAAAGCGUACAUAACGUGAUCGUGAGAACCAUGACAGUGCAGGAAAACCAGUAAAACCCGAAUGCCAAAGAAGUUGGCGAGUAACCGGCUGCAUUCUCGCAGAAAUUAAAACUUCUCUCACAAUCGGUUUAGGUUACCGAAACGUCUGAUUAAUUUGACUCUUGUAAUAACAUCUCCUGGGGUUUUGCAAUUGUUCAAAUACCUCUUAAGUGGAACGAUGUUUUGCGUGCACUACGACGUUUUCAAGUCUUUUAUCGGACCACCAUUCGCUAACCUCCAGUCACCUCUUAGUGGCCCGGAAGCAACUUAUUGAAAAUGAAUUCUUGUUAAUUAACUAUUUCCGCUGAAGGAAUAAUUGAUCUUCAUUGCCAAGUUCAUCGGCUUGUUGCCAGUAUAUUUACAUGUUUCAUCUCUGUUCAGUACUCGAAUUUGACUUAAGUUUAGAUAAGGAGCUUCCUUUGACAAACACGUACGGCUAGGUAAACGAUGGAUUCCUCUGAGCAAAGAAUUCCAAAGAAGUGGUUUUCGAUGUUCGUUCCUCUCCCGUAAGAUAUGUUACUCUGAAUUCAGUUUGUCUCAGCCCCGACCCAGCAGAUGAUCCUGGUGUGUAGAUGAGUAAGGGCUACCUCUUAGAAUAGGGCCAUGUAGGGGUGGGUGUGGAGUGGCAAGAGGGAGAAGUAAGGGGCUACUUGCAAUGGACUAAUUCGAUCCCAUCCCCCCAUAUAGAGUAACAAUUCUGCUAGUUAGUGUUUGCUAUAAAACGCGGGAUUAACUCUAGUUGCGCCGUUCAUUUGGCCGUGAAUUGAGUUGCCCUAUUCAAUACUGACCGUCUAACGCAAUGUUAGAACAGGUCAUGGGCUCCUGUGAUGGAAGGUUUGGUUGAAUUUCAAGAAAAGUUUCCUACUGUGUAAUAGUUUCCUUAUUUGUUUCGAUAUUGAUGCCAUUAUGUCAUUAUUGGUAUCGCGCGCCUAAAAUUACUUGGUUACUACUGUUUGGUGUAAGGGGUUGAUGAGUGUGGAAACAAAGGUCGUCAAGAAAACUCAACAGUACUGCAAGCAUCUUUAUAUUUUCGUUUGCAAAGAAGCUAUGUUUGCUUGUCUCGUGCCGAUCCUGUGUUCGAAGGCUAAUGAAAACCGUCACGUUUGAACUUCUAGUUCUAAGGUUAGUUCAACAGUCCAAAGUAAAAUUCAGUCCUCGUUGAUUAGCAUUGAAUAGUUUGCCUCGUGCCCGCCUUGUGGGUGAUUGUGAGCCAAAUUCAGCCUCAAGUUUCAAGUUGCAGAGUCCUGUGCGCGUAAAGACCGACUAACUGACUUCUAAUACUUCACUGGGAAAAGCCGGCAAUUCCCAAGUUUCGACAUUGACGCACUGAAUAGAUGUACUGUACACUUUUUUUGGUAGGGUUUUACGAAUCUGGCAAUAGGUCAAGAAAACAUUCCUUAUGGUUAAUUCUUUUUUUUUUUUUGUCUCACUAUAGUCACGAGAGGUCACAUUUGUUUGGAACGCCUGAUCACACCAGAUAUUGCUUUCUAGAAUGUGAUAAAAACCUGCAGUUUAAUUUUAUGUUUGUACAAUUUAACUUGGAACUCUCAUAAUAAGAUAAUAUUAAUUUCUGUUGUUUUCAGAUGGACAAGAAAAAUGUCGUUUUAGGACCAAAAAAGGCCAGCUCUUGAAUUUUCGUACAGGCAACGACAGUUGGUAAAUUUGGCAUAUAAGAUUUCGUAACCACAAAAAUUCCGUUGGGUAAAGAAUUCAACAUCACUGUGUCAGGUUAUACAGAUAUUCCCUAUACCAAGGCUUGAACGAUAUUGGAAAACGGAACCAUGGCAUCCCAAAUCUUAUAUUUUGUUCUUUUUUAUAAUUAUGUCAUUUGUUGUCCAAGUAAAGGGAGCCGAGAAAACAUUGCAUUGACUGUGGUUCUGACUGAAUUAUUGCGUCGGGGGGAAACUCUCUAAAGUGUUUGGUGGAGGUGUGCGGCCCGAACCUUGAAACCUGCACCCUAUUAAUGACCAAACUCUCUGAUUGUCCAUGAGCCAAGAAUCGGUACGCUAUUUCAAUUAGUACACGACUUCAAAAUAUUACCGCAGCUAACCAGAAAUGGCUUCUAUUUCUGUAAACAUUUGAGAGGGGCUAUAAAUAUGCCACUGUUAAUGGGAAAAAAAUAGUUCUUUGUAAACAAGAUAUCCAAUGCCAAACGAGAGUGAAAAGCACACGAUAUUUCAGACUAAAAUGAUCUAUACCCUUUUUUCGGACCAAAAUAUACCAAAAACUAUACUCUUUGGGGCUGUACAUACCUAUAUAACCCAUAUAAGAGAGAAUCCCCGGGACGACGGUCAACCAACAAUUUGAUGUUAAGGAAUGGCAUCAAAUAAAUGAAGAGCGAAUGUGGAGUUCAGAGAGCGCUUCCAUGCAUGGUUAUAUUGAAGUGAAUAUCCCCAAGAUUUCACUGCUAUAUUCUCAACACAAGUAUACUUGACUGUGUAUCGAUGUUGCUAGGAGAACUAAGUUGCUGACCACUUCCGUCAGAAUCAGCCCAGUAACGUUUUGCGUUCAUUCCGUUGGCUACCUGACAGAGAACUUACUGAGUCAUCUUUUGCGUUUAAAUCGAUUUUCAUUUGUUUCCUUGUUAUGGCACUUUCUUCAUUUUUGCUCGGAAAGCUGAUAUCAAUAAUUUUUUAUCCACUUUCAAAACCGGACGGUGUAGGCGUUCUGUAGUUGACGAAUUUCCGUUGUCAGUCAAGGUUAAUAGGUACGGGUUUCCACAGGUCAUGUGCUUUGAAAAUUUGAUUUCCUGGAUUACAAGACCUACAGGCACGAUCCAUGGCAAUUAGAGAUAUUUUGAGAUAAAUAAGAUGCUAAACGCGCUCCGAUUGGUUAAAAGCCAAUUACAGUACCAUCUCUGAGAACUGACAUAUAUUUCAACCGUUCAUUUCAUUCAAAGAAACGAGGAAAAUGUCAGUGCUAGUUUCCAUUGUAGAGUUAUAUAAACACUCGUGAUUUGUUUUGAAGAACUCAGAAAUAUAAGAUAGAUGUAAGAGGUGACCACAGCUUUUGUUCCUCUCGGAAUACUGUCUGUUUAUAUUACCCUGUGAGUAUACCGCAACUCUUAAGACAGAAAAACGUUUAAAAUAUUUCCUCAGACUUGAAAACAACGACGUCUUUAAUUAUAUAAAUCGUCACUAACGGGCGACGAGAAACAUCUACAAACGUCCUGUUCGUUUGAAACCAGGCUGGACACUUUUAAUUCGCGUCACACAUGGUUUUGUCACUCCAUUGCAUUCAAUCCAUCCAGGCGCGUGAUAUCACCAUAAAAAUUUUCAAUAACUGUACGCUACACGUUUAUUCUAGUUCUUGUUGGGAGAAUUUAUAAAUCUGUCAAAGGGACUUAAAAUUAAAGCGCUAAAUUUAACGUUGCAUUAACGAUGUACUCCUCCGGUUAGGAAGUUCCAAACUGAAGUCGAAGAAAAAAAUUAGUGAAAACACGAAAAGAAUAGAAUGUAAACUGCAAAUAAGCGGACUAAGGCUUUUUAAGGUGAUGGAAGCCUGGUUUCCGUCAGAAAUCACGUUCUGGAGAUGAUUGUAGUGAACCUUUAAACUGAUUAUUUCACUUCUUCUCUAAUUGUCUUUCCUGUAUUAGUGCGGGAUAGGAAAUUGAAAUCCGGUUAACCUUGAAACUUACUCUGACAAACGCUA